GGAGGAUGGAGCUAGGGGCUGAGAAAGCUAGGGCAGAGCUCUAGAUCCCCGAAUUUUAGUGUGGGGGAGAGCUUGCUGUUGGGGAUCCAGACAUUAUAAAGGAGUUCUGGCCCACUUGUGAGAUUGGAGAGAAAGAUCUGAGGCUGUGACUCCAACGUCCUGGGGAAGAGGGAGCUUAAGAGACCCGCUUGAAGAUCCUGAGAGAAAGAAUGUGAGCCUGGGGGUGGGAGGGUCCUGGGCUCAGAGAAAGGGGACCUCCCUGCGCCUGAGGUCCGUGUCUGGGGACCUCUGCGCCUCACCUUCCAGAAUGCAAGGGGCGGGGUCACUCGGACUCGGUGGAAGAGGCCCCCGGACUUCCCUUCGGUGUGUCGGGUACAAGAUUUUGCAGCCUUUUAACGAGGAAGCCCCGCCCACGGCCCCGCCUUCUGCCCGCACCUUGCUGCGGUGCGGCUGAACCCGCAAGCGCUCGAGGAGGGGCACGGGCUGGAGUGACUUUAGGAGGAGGGACUGGAGCCUCGGAAACCGAGGUUUAUGUUUGCAGAGCAAAAGAACCAGAUACCAAAGAAGACAAGAUAAACGGCCCAGAUGAUCCCACCUCGCAGACUGACUCAAUAGCUGUUUCUUCAAGAAUCUGCAUCCAGAAUGACUUCAAGAUGGCUAAAUAAGAUGGACGUGUGACAUACCAGCUCCUGGCAACACCCCAUCCUACUUUAAAGAAGAUGAUGAGCAUCGAAGAAUCAGCAUGUGGAGUUUGCUUCAAAUGUGGCAAGCUGCCACUAGGCAUAAACCUGCUCUAGCUUCCACUGUAGACAGCAUGUUAUCCAAACUUGACAAACAGGACAUGGAAGAAGUCAACUGCUGGACUUUGCAAGGACAAGAAACAUUGAACGACUAUCCAGGUAACCAGAAGCCUUUGCCAUUUCUACAGUUUUGGAAGCUAUUUGUUCUGCACUUCCUGUUUAUUCAGGCUCUCGUUGGCCUGAGGAUAGAUUGAGGAAGUCCUGGGUAUCCUCCUGUUUCCACCUCUCCAGCCCUGGGAUUACAGAUGUACUACCAUGCCCUGCUUUUCAUAUGGGUUCUGGGGAUGGAACUCAGUAAGUACUCACGGAAGGAUUUGGGCGGCUACCUCCUACUUGCCCAAAUCCCCAGCUGUCACUCAUAGCUGCUGGUUCUGGCCCUGGAACCUUGGAGACACUGGCAUCAUGGCAAUUAAAUCCAUAAGGGCAACUGCCACAAUAAUAAUAAUGAUGACAGCUAGCACUUACUAAACACUCACUAUGUGCAAGGCGUUCUCUGGGCUUUCCAUGCAAUAAUAGUCCGACUAAUCCUCCCAGCAGCCUCUGAAAUCUAUGUUACUAUUUUUUUCCAAUUAAAAAAAUAAAUAUCUGCAUCCGGGUGUGGUGGCUUGCACCUGUAGUCCUGGCUAUGCUGGAGACCAAAACAGAUGGAUAACCAGAGCUCAGAAACUGGAAACCAGUCUGGAAAAACUAGCAGUGGAGACUCCUCCAACUCCAAACAAGAACAACAAAAAUGGUUUAAGUAUCGAUUUUAUUCAGAGUUAGCUGGUAGUUUCUUUCCUCUUUGUUGAUAGCACAGAACUCUUGUUUCUCUUCAUUCACAUUGUUUUAUCUUCAUUCCAUACCACCUUUAUCAUUGUGUAUCUUUCGCAACUACCCUUAUUAGUGUAUCUCUCGAAGUAUUGUUUUUAUUAGCCUUAACUACUUAUCUUCAUCACUGUGUAUGUUUUCCUACUAUUUUUUUUCUUUAAUUAAGAUGUGGGCUUGGCAUGUAGCUUAGUUGGUAGAAUGUUUGCCUGUCAUCCUGCUGGGAACAAGCAAAAUAAACGUAUUCUUAGGACUACUUACUACUUGUCCUAGAAAUUGACUACAGAUUUCUAGAUGUGGCAGUACCUUGACCCACCGAGCCAUCACUGCAGCCCAGAUUAUAUAGUAUGUCCAGACUAUGAAGAGCCUGCCAGUUGGAAUAAAUGAAUUCAAUAAAGUUGCAGGACACAAAACCAACACACAAAAAUAGAUUUUGUUUCUCCACACUAACAACAAACUACAAGAAAAAAGAAGACAUGAGUUCAGUUCCCAGCACCCACAUUAGGUGACUCAUAACCUCCUGUAACUCCAGCCCUAAGGGGUUCCAACAACCUCUUCUGGCCUCAUCAGAGACAGUAAGAGUUUUGGAAGCAGACGUCUUUGGAUGAAGAUAUUGAUGCAGAGCAUUUGCACUCCAGCCUCUGGGCUCAGUGAGUCUCAAACUGUGACAACAAGCUGUGAGAGAGAUUCCAGAGCCAAGACCCGGGGACGGGGACGGAAGGUGGAGCCUGGAAUAAAGGCAAAGCUAUUGGGUCUGAGGGAGGAAGCUGGUCUGAGGGAAGGAGCCAGGGACCUCAGGGGCCUGGGCCUGAAGUAAGAGGCUAGGGUCUGGAGUCUCAAGUGAGAAGAAGAAGAA
rnacentral:lncRNA from 1 species